ACUGCUAGCAGCAGCACUCUGCUACAUGGUGAGUAUAUAAUAUUGUUACAUUCCAUCCUGGAUUUUCUAUUGUUUAAAAGUGUUGAAAACUGGGCCAAGCCUGGCUGUAGAAAUCUAAAUUUCACAGUUGGUUGCCAAACCUUUGCAGAUGGUGUCACAUUUUCUUUUUUCUGGGUUGCUGGACACACCUGCAGUGCAAAUCAAUGAAUUGAAGACUCAAGCAGCAAAAGUGGAGCUAGAGAUCUGGUUUCAGAAACUGGGUUUAUAACAUGCAUAAAAAUUAGUACCCAAACUACUAGGGUAGAAGGAAGAAAACCAAGAGUAGAUGGAGAAAUUUAAAUAUCUAGGAGAGUGGAUAGGUUCAAACACCUCCAGAAAGAAGUCUAUGCAUUGUGGAUGAGAAAAAUGGAAGUGAUAUAUCAACUAACCAAAUGUCUAUAAGAAAAAAUUAAUAUCCAUUAAGGCCAAGAUAUGGCAUUACUACACUGUUAUAUAACUGGAUGAUGUAUCCUGUAAAUUUCUUUGUUGUUGUUGUUGUUGUUGUUGUGGUCUUCAGUCCUGAGACUGGUUUGAUGCAGCUCUCCAUGCUAAUCUAUCCUGUGCAAGCUCCUUCAUCUCCCAGUACCUACUGCAACCUACAUCCUUCUGAAUCUGCUUAGUGUAUUCAUCUCUUGGCCUCCCUCUACGAUUUUUACCCUCCACAUUGCCCUCCAAUGCUAAAUUUGUGAUUCCUUGAUGCCUCAGUACAUGUCCUACCAACUGAUCCCUUCUUCUAGUCAAGUUGUGCCACAAACUUCUCUUCUCCCCAAUCCUAUUCAAUACCUCCUCAUUAGCUACGUGAACUACCCACCUAAUCUUCAACAUUCUUCUGUAGCACCACAUUUCGAAAGCUUCUAUUCUCUUCUUGUCCAAACUAUUUAUUGUCCAUGUUUCACUUCCAUACAUGGCUACACUCCAUACAAAUACUUUCAGAAACGACUUUCUGACACUUAAAUCUAUACUCGAUCUUAACAAAUUUCUCUUCUUCAGAAACACUUUCCUUUCCAUUGCCAGUCUACAUUUUAUAUCCUCUCUACUUCGACCAUCAUCAGUUAUUUUGCUCCCCAAAUAGCAAAAUCCCUUUACUACUUUAAGUGUCUCAUUUCCUAAUCUAAUUCCCUCAGCAUCACCCGACUUAAUUCGAUUACAUUCCAUUAUCCUCGUUUUGCUUUUGUUGAUGUUCAUCUUAUAUCCUCCUUUCAAGACACUGUCCAUUCCGUUCAACUGCUUUUCCAAGUCCUUUGCUGUCUCUGACAGAAUUACAAUGUCAUUGGCGAACCUCAAAGUUUUUAUUUCUUCUCCAUGGAUUUUAAUACCUACUCCGAAUUUUUCUUUUGUUUCCUUUGUUAUAGAUAGAAAAGAUCUGAAUGAGGAAUUACAAACAAUAUAAUGGCAGCUUUUGAGAAAAACUUUAGGUCCAUCCAAAGAAAACAGUGAAUUCAGACGACAACAAAACUAUUACUAUACACACAUGUAAACAACAAAACUAUUACUCUACACACAUGUAAACUGACAGAUACCAUUUCUAGGGGAGGUUUAUUUUCUAUGAUAACACUGGUCAUGUGUAUCCUACUGGGUAGAACAAUUGUAUGUUCCACAAUUUCCUGAACAAUACAACCCAAGAGGUGUGGUUCACCAGUGCAUAAAUAUACCUGCAAGAAGUGGGGAUAACACAGGAUAUCCUGAAAUGUAUUUCAUUCAAGAAGAAACUCCAAGAGAACCUUAGUUUCCAAGAAAACACAUAACUAAAAACUGGCAAAACAUGGACUGAAGUGUGGAAGGAACAGCUUAGGAAUGUCAAGUGGAAGUACGAGGCUCAAGUUAAAGUCCAGGCACAAGGAAAAGAAAAAGGAUAGAUGGUUGAAAUGACAAAAAAAAAAAAAAAAAAAAACAUGAAGCUCUCUUACUCAAUUGCAGUGGUAUAAGCUUGCAACACAGCGUCAUAAUAUGAAAUCACUACUUAAUUUCAUCACACAAAAUUGCAUCCAUCAUAAAAGUUUGGAUUUACUUGGGCUAUUCCUUUUGUACAGAACAUUAGUGCAGAAACUCUGAAGCAUAAGGGAAAAAAGACUUCUCUGAAAGCUGGUGAUGUGUAAGUAAAUAACCAUCCACUCACACUGGUGAAAUGAAAACAGUUUUUGUUAACUGAGAUCUUAUACCAUAACAUUUAAGUGUGUGUUUCAUAGUUGUUUUUCAUGAACUUUGUGUCUUUGCAGCCAUCAUCAAAGGCAGCGAGCUGAGUUGUUCACAUCUACAAUAAACAGUGUUGAAGUUGCCACUCCCAGUCUUGUUCUUCAUUUCAUUAUUACAUUUAUACUUUUAUCACCAAGACCUCUCUGUAUAAAUAAAGAUCACAAUGGAAAAUGUGAUAAUAAGGGAGGCAAGGAGAGAAGACUGCAAGGAACUGAGAAGAUUGAUACAGGAGCUUGCUGACUUUGAAGAGAUGCCAGAUGACUGCAAGCUGACAGUAGAGGGACUGGAACGUGAUGGCUUUGAUGCAGUGCCACCACUGUUUCAUUGUUAUGUUGCAGAAGUCAAUACACACAUGAAGGAUAUCAGUGCAACCAAGGAAGAAAAUGUUUCAGAUGUAUUGAAAAUGGGAGACAGCUGUGCAAAGCUUAUUGGACAUGCUUUGUAUUUCUUUUCCUAUUCCUCUCAAAGGGGACGUACAAUUUACUUAGAGGAUAUUUAUGUUACACCUGAGUACAGGGGAUCAAAGCUUGGUUCAGCUCUUUUUGAUAAGGUGGCAAAGAAAAUUCAUCUUGACUCACUGACCAAUUACAAGAGUAAAACAAGGACGAUGUUAGCAAAUCAGCACGAAAUAUUAGUACUACCGUUGAAAUGCCAUCAUAACCAGAAUUACUGCUUUUAAGUGGCCUAUGUGCAUUUGUGAUCUCUUUUACAAUUGAUUAGGAAAAACAGAUGUUUCUGGUGGAAAAGGAAUUGAGACUGGAUGUGUUCAAAUGGACCUUGUUGUACUCAAUUGGAAUCCAGCUCAAAUAUUUUACAAACGAAAAGGUGCAACUGACAUCACUUCUGAGAAAAACUUCAAUUACUACAGUAUUGACA